rnacentral:rRNA from 1 species
CGGACGGGUGAGUAACACGUGGGUAAUCUGCCUUAUACAGGGGGAUAACAGUUAGAAAUGACUGCUAAUACCGCAUAAGCGCACGGAAACGCAUGUUUCAGUGUGAAAAACUCCGGCAGUAUAAGAUGAGCCCGCGUCUGAUUAGCUUGUUGGUGGGGUAACGGCCUACCAAGGCGACGAUCAGUAGCCGGCCUGAGAGGGUGAACGGCCACAUUGGGACUGAGACACGGCCCAAACUCCUACGGAAGGCAGCAG